ensembl:lncRNA
ACGUGCCUGAAAUUAAAUAUAUGUUGAGAUUCUGAAAGGUUUUCUUCAUUAAGUCCUACAUGAGGGCCUAAAAAAAAAAAAAACAAAUGUACACGACAGGGAAAAUUGGCCAUAUUUUUAUUUUUGCAUGCAUAUUGUCCACAACCUGAAACAGUUCAAAGCACAGGGAGGGACUUUCCCCUGGAACUUCCCAUGUUGACACAGCUGGGAAUGUCAGCAGCAGAUAAGUACUCAUAUAAGCCACAGAAGCAUUGUAGGAAUCGGUCCUUAAUAACAAAGGGAAUUAAAAAUUUGUUCAUUUAGGAUUAAGUAAAAGGAAUUCUGCCUCACUUUUAGCUUCCCUUGACUAAUGCAGGUCACACUUCUGCUGCUGCAUCUUAGGCCACGGAGAGCAUCAGCUGCCAACUGCAGCUACAGAAAGUGCCUCCCUCCUACUUAAUGUGUAGUGGGUGCCAAAGGGAGUCUGGCUAAAAGCCUUUUAACAAAUAAUUAAACGUAAUAUCUGUUUUCUAUCAGGUUUCACUUGAUGUGAAACUGCCUGAGAGAUGUGUUUACAUAUUCACAGCAUACAUGAAAAGAAAAUCAAAACAAGGCAGAAACAGAUAGCUGGGACAAAACAUGUAUGAGGAACGUACUGAAGCUGGGCUGAAGAUUAGACAAGCUUAUAAAAGUGCAGAGAAUGCUCGUUAUGCACUGAAUCAACCCAGCAGAUGCAAGGCUCCUCCCUUCCCACUACUUUAUUUAUUUUAUUUUAUUUUAUUUUAUUUUAUUUUAUUUUAUUUUAUUUUAUUCUAUCAUUGUUUUGAGCUGCUGGGAGGACCCUUGGAGAAUUUCUCUUGGCCCUGUACAUAUCUCUGCUGAGUGCAGUCAAGCCUGGCCCCUCAGUGCUUCUGCUGUCCUCCUGAAGUCCCACUUGAUGUGACCUUUCAUGAUGAGCUGCAGAGUGACAGAAUCCAGAGUGAAGCCAGUAGCGUUGCGCAGGCUUGGCCUGCAAGCUUCAGGUGUUUAGAUCAGAUCUUCUCCCCUGUCACAGGUGUAGGAGUCCCAGCUGAGCUAAUACCAGUUUGGACUGGUGUGUUUUUCAAAAAUAAUUGAAGUGGCCCUUCAGAUCCACUUAGGGCUGGGCAUUUGUCAUCACCCCUGCUGCGCUCUCAAUUGCUGAAGACACGAAUGUAUUUCAACCAGAAUGAAAUCUGCUCAUUUUCAAUCACAUAUUUCCUCACUUCAGUUCUCUAAAAUGUCAUUCUGAUGAAGCAAAGGCCUGAAACAGGAAAAAGGCAAUAGCUGUUGUUUAUUUCUCUUUUCUUUCUCAGUGUGAGGAGAUUUGUUGGUCACUAAUUAUCACUGUGUGUCAGCCUCCCACCACAGCCCUGGUCUGUUUAUCUCUAUGUGUCCUGGUCUGAGUUGAAACAAUCAACAGUUUCUCUGAGCCAAAAUAAUAAUAAUUAAUAAUAAUAAUAAUAAUAAAUACCUGAACAAGAGAGAAAAAAAGGAAAUUCUAGACGUAAAAAAGCCUUGAAACUUGAAAGAUGAUUGAUCAAAGAAGAGUUCUGUUCUGAUCUUUCCUUACUGCUGUGAAAGAAACUGAACUUAGAUUGAAAGAGAUGAACAAGGUCCACCUGUCCUGCAUUAGUAAACACCUCCUUUCAAAGCCAGCCAGGAGGAUGCAACCUCAGAUAGGCUACAUGUUUUGAGUCUGAAAACCCAAGUCUUGGGUGGAUACAUUCAUUUUGUGGUUAGUGCUGGUGUUUUCCACGCAGGGAGCUCACUACUUACGGUGCUGUUUGUCUAUCCCCACAAGUGCUUUCCCCUCUGCUGCACCAUCUGACUGCUUGUAAAUCACAGAGAUGUUCCUACACCAUUUUAUUUGCUACCUGCUUUGGCAAACAUUAGGUUUCAUUUUCAAAGCAUUUCUGUGACUUUUUGAUGAAGUCCUCCCAAGGUGCUGGAAGCUGAGCACCUCACGUUAUAAGAAGAUAAAUGAAGUUGCAGAGUACUAAAAGGCUUGCUCCAAGACACAGGAGAAGGCCAUUUGAUGCUGGGGUACAAACCUCAUGGCGCUGUUCUCUGAAACCCUAACUUGCUGUCUCUCCCCAGGUGUCUGUCAGGGUCGUUGGGUUGCUGAGUAAUGCAAUUCCAUCUCAUGCUUCAGUGCCUUGCUUUGCAUACUAUAUAUAUGUAUACAAAAUAGUAGAAAAAGAGUAUUAACAAAGCACUUUUUUUUUUUUUUUUUUUAAUCAGAAAUCACAUUUGACUCCUUUCUGAGCUGGAGUGUGUUGCACUAAGUCACCAUGUGUUUGUGAUUGUCCCAAAGGGUUAGACAGCACUGCUCAUGUCAUGCAGACUAUUUCUGCUGAGGGAUGCGAGCACUGCCUAAUUAUACAGCAGAGAAGUAGCAAGUGUGCUAGCAGUAAUCUGCUGCAGUUCCUUAAAAAAACAACUACACCCAUGGUACAGUACAGCUGACUUUUCAUCCAGGCAGGAGAAACAGGAAACAUCAGGCAACAGCCAGAAAAACCCACCAAAAGGCACGUUCAGGAGUGAUUUACAACAGCAGGAAAAAAUUCAAAAUCUGAAAGACAGUAUCAGAAUUACUUCUUGCGGAGAACCCAGGCCCUGCAAUUUUGGAUGGCUGUCUUGUGUUACUGUAUGUAAAUCUGUAUAUGUACUGAAAUGGUACAGUCCGAGGAAAGCCUUGGUUCACCUUUCCAAUCAGCCCAGCAGAACACAAUAGCACCAUUUUAAUCUGCACCAAGAUUAAAUCUGAGCACUCCAGAUCAGACUUUUCCUUUCAUUGAAUGUAAACAAUCAAAUCUCACUCUGAAGCCCUUUCCUGCUUUACUUAGCUACGAGCUCUUACAUUUGCUUUUCUUUUAUUUAACGAACACACUUUCAUUUAAAAGAUGCUUAAAAUAAAAGUAGAUUCGAUAUUCAACAGGAUGUAUCUGAAAACCUAUUUUAUCCUGGCGGUAUAGAGCUGGAGGAACUCUGACCUGAGAAACUCUGAGAAAAACCUUUUUAAGCGUUCUGGUCAGAUUGUUAUCUCCUUUACUCCUCUCUGAAUUCAGAAUACACCUACUGGCUUCUGCAGAGCUGGUCCAGACUUUCACCACUGUAAAGAACAUUAAAAGAGAUGUUUUGCUUUUCAAUACUUUCUCAUUGCAGAUUUCACUCUUGCAGCGCUCUCCUCCAGGUAACUUGCUUUUCCUCUACCUCCAAGUGCCCUUCCUCAAAAAUCCCCUUUGCCAGCUGAGAAAAUGUGGGCGCUUGGAGGAGACCAAGAGGCCUUCCUGGUGCCAGGCUCCUGGCCUCGCUACCUGGGCAAGCUUCCCACUGCUACAGGAAGCCGCUUGUGGUCAGGGUGGGUCCUCCUUAACCUUGCCUGCGCAGCCAGGGGAGACGAAGGACUAUGCCAAAGAUACCAAAAAAAGCGGCUUUAACCCUCUGCAGCUGAAACAGGGGGUCAGGGAGAGGCCACUUGUAAUGUGACAUCCCAUGCGUGCUGCCUGACCUCCUUGUUUGGCAAACAUCUUCUUUUGGGUGAGGAACUUCAGAUAGGGUCUGUCACCAAAAAAAAAAAAAAAAAAAAAAAAAAGGCAGUUCACUUUAGUGAACACUUUAGCUAACUAGGCAGUUAGCUGUACCACAGUGAGGGGGGGCUGGGCAAAAAAAAAAAAAUAGAGGAGAAACUGGCAAGGGAGACAGUCCCUCUGGUCUGUAAAUAAUUAAAUGCUGAGUAGUCCUCAAAUGCAUACGUUGAGAAAGCUUAAUUUGCCCCCCUCUCCUGCUUGGAGGCUAAUUUAAUCCAUAUCACAGUUUUUGCAAAGACAUUCCUAAUGCUAUUGUGCUGCAAAUCCUGUCUGAUCCAACAUUCAAAUAUUUAUGUAAAGUGAAAUAUGUCUGGAAAGAAGUCAAAACAAAACAAAUAUGCCACACAAUCUCUUUCCCAUAUGUCCCUCCCUCCUCAUUUACAUUCACGUUAAACCCUCCGCAACCAGGUCCCGACUGCUAGUGGUGGUUACUGGCUGAUAAUUGCAGAGCCCCUUUCUUUGAGCACACGGAUGGCCUUACAUCUUGCCAAGCAAUUCAGUCUGGAGCUCUCAGGAGCUGCAAAAUGCUUUUGCAGCAAUUUUUUCUCCUCUCUGCAAUGGCACGGCUGACACACACCGCAGCUCGCUCCCAGCGGAUCCGCGACGCCAAGCGGUGCAAAGGAUGCGUGUGAAAUGUGCCACGUUCACAACUGACUCCUGCGUACAGCCGUCCUCCCCCCAGAGGUGAUGAAAGCCUGCAAUUUCAUUGACUUCAGUGGUGGAGAAUGCUGCCAGGACCGGAGCGCUCAGGGUGUGACAGGCUGCGGCUGCGGCCUGCAGUGUCAAGGGAGCUGGGGAGCCCCGCUCAGGAAAGAACCUGAGAACUGAAAAUAGCUAUCCUUGAUGCUUUCCUUUCUUAUACGGGGCCCUGAGCGUUCAGAAAUCUUCUGGGACUGGUCUCGGUGGGGAAGACAGUGCUAUUCCCUUCACGAGGCCUUCAAUCCAGCACUUAUGCCUUAUAUGGGGUCUUUUAAAGGAUACUUUGCCCUUACACAGCUAUUUCAAGCCCUUCAGCUGGAAAAGAGAGAUUGCUUCUGCCACUGCUGUGGAAGGUCUGGAUGACCCUGCCUUGCAGAGCAGCCCCAGGGCAGCCAUAAAUCAAGGAAAUGCAACAUCCUGAAGCCAGAGAGGUGGCCACAUCCUCCCACUCAGCAGUAGCAGGAGGAAAGCAAAGCAGAAACCAGAGCUGCCCCUGUGAUGCUGUAAUUAUGAUGAAGUGCUGGGGGUGACCUCAGAAGCAUGAGAGCAGAGUACCUUUACAAAUGGAUUAUUUAUCAGGGUCAGACGUGCUGAUCUGCUCCUCUGGGACUAUUUACAAGCAAGGGUGAGAGUAACUAAACCUGAAAUCUAUAUAGCUUUAGGCAUAUUUGGGAAUAAGAAACCAGUAUCUUACGGAACAUAAAGUAUCCCAUCAUGAAGCACAGCAGCAGCAAAAAAUAAGAAUGAAAAAAAGGUGGUGGCUUACCUAUUUUAUGUUUUUAUACUUGUAAAGGUUUGAAUCUGUGACACAGAUUGUGGUGAGACUAAAAGUGGUCACACCUGACACAGUCUUAACUCUUCUUUUUUUCUUUCUUCUUUCCCUCAUUAAAAGCACAGUUUUGGCUAUAUUCAGUUUUCCUGAGUUCUCCCUUCUUUUAAGUUUGAAUCAGGGACAUGACACUCAUGUAGUCACAAGUUUCUAAGAGACCACCAACACAAGUUUCCCACCAGUCCUUUAACGAUGCCUAAUGGCUUCAUGAGUAAGAACCUCAUCUCGGAGAACAUCUCAACUCCCAUAAGCAGGGAAAGGUGCCU